CAGUCGCCACGGUAAAACCAGCAGCCCAAGUGGUGGUCGCGAUUAUUGGGCCUAAAGCGCUCGUAGCCGGGCCGGUAAGUCCCUUGUGAAAUCGGACGGCCUAACCGUUCGGCGUGCAAGGGACACUGUCGGUCUUGAGGCCGGGAGACGUCCGAGGUACUCCGGGGGUAGCGGUGAAAUGUUCUAAUCCUCGGGGGACCACCGGUGGCGAAGGCGUUCGACGAGAACGGGCCUGACGGUGAGGGGCGAAGGCUAGGGGAGCAAACGGGAUUAGAGACCCCAGUAGUCCCUGUCUCUUAUA
rnacentral:rRNA from 1 species